GUCCUACGGGAGGCAGCAGUAGGGAAUCUUCCCCAAUGGGCGAAAGCCUGAUGGAGCAACGCCGCGUGGGUGAAGAAGGUCUUCGGAUCGUAAAACCCUGUUGUUAGAGAAGAAAGUGCGUGAGAGUAACUGUUCACGUUUCGACGGUAUCUACCCAGAAAGCCACGGCUAACUACGUGCCAGCAGCCGCGGUAAUACGUAGGUGGCGAGCGUUAUCCGGAUUUAUUGGGCGUAAUGAGAACGCAGGCGGCCUUUUAAGUCUGAUGUGUAAGCCUUCGGCUUAACCGGAGUAGUGCAUUGGAAAC
rnacentral:rRNA from 1 species